rnacentral:rRNA from 2 species
ACCGGGAUUGCCCUAGUAACGGCGAGUGAAGCGGCAACAGCUCAAAUUUGAAAUCUGGCGCCUCCGGCGUCCGAGUUGUAAUUUGUAGAGGAUACCUCGGGUGCAGUACCGGUCCAAGUCCCUUGGAACAGGAUGUCAUAGAGGGUGAGAACCCCGUACCUGGCCGGCCCCUGCCCCGCUGUGAGGUUCCUUCGACGAGUCGAGUUGUUUGGGAAUGCAGCUCUAAAUGGGUGGUAAAUUCCAUCUAAAGCUAAAUACUGGCCAGAGACCGAUAGCGCACAAGUAGAGUGAUCGAAAGAUGAAAAGCACUUUGAAAAGAGAGUUAAAAAGUACGUGAAAUUGUUGAAAGGGAAGCGCAUACGGCCAGACUUGCCCGCGGUUGUUCAGCCCGCCUUCUGGCGGGUGCACUCUGCCGCGGUCAGGCCAGCAUCGGUUUCGGCGGUCGGAUAAAGGCGUCGGGAAUGUGGCCCCCUUCGGGGGGUGUUAUAGCCCUUCGCGCAAUGCGGCCAGCCGGGACCGAGGCCCGCGUUUUUACUAGGAUGCUGGCGUAAUGGCCGUAUGCGGCCCGUCUUGAAACACGGACCAAGGAGUCUAACAUCUAUGCGAGUGUUUGGGUGCCAAACCCAUGCGCGUAAUGAAAGUGAACGGAGGUGGGAGCUUAGGCGCACCAUCGACCGAUCCUGAUGUCUUCGGAAGGAUUUGAGUAAGAGCAUAGCUGAUAGGACCCGAAAGAUGGUGAACUAUGCGUGAAUAGGGUGAAGCCAGAGGAAACUCUGGUGGAGGCUCGCAGCGGUUCUGACGUGCAAAUCGAUCGUCAAAUUUGCGUAUAGGGGCGAAAGACUAAUCGAACCA